CAAAACACAAUCACAUCACCGAGCCGUCGCCCAUAUCCUAUCUAACCUAAAGCCCUAACCUAAAAAUACAACCACCUAGCCCUAUUGCCGAUUCAGCAGAUAUCAUUUGCCGUCACAAAACCACGAACCACCUUGCCGCUCAACUCCCUCAUUUCCUGUCACAGCAACAUCCGUUUACCCUCACCAUCUUGCAAGUGUUCCCAAUCACAUUCACCCACAAACUUACUAGUUGUGGCAAACUACCC
rnacentral:lncRNA from 1 species